rnacentral:rRNA from 1 species
GACGAACCGUGCGAACGUUAUUCGGAAUCACUGGGCUUAAAGCGCGUGUAGGCGGGCCGCCGCGUCGGCUGCUGAAAUCCCCCGGCUCACCCGGGGAACGGGCACCGAUACGGGCGGCCUCGAGGGGGGUAGGGGGGCCUGGAACUUCCGGUGGAGCGGUGAAAUGCGUUGAGAUCGGAAGGAACGCCCGUGGCGAAAGCGAGGCCCUGGACCCUUUACUGACGCUGAGACGCGAAAGCCAGGGGAGCGAACGGG